AGUGAACGCUGGCGGCAGGCCUAACACAUGCAAGUCGAGCGGCAGCGGGUUCCCGCGAGGGGAUGCCGGCGAGCGGCGGACGGGUGAGGAACACAUCGGAAUCUGCCUGGUUGUGGGGAUAACGUAGGGAAACUUACGCUAAUACCGCAUGAGACCCUGAGUCGACGGACUGGGGGUGGAAAGUGAGGGACCGUUCGGCCGUCACGCGACCAGAUGAGCCGAUGUCGGAUUAGCUAGCUGGCGGGGUAACGGCCCGCCAAGGCGACGAUCCGUAGCUGGUCUGAGAGGAUGAUCAGCCACACUGGGACUGAGACACGGCCCAGACUCCUACGGGAGGCAGCAGUGGGGAAUCUUGGACAAUGGGCGCAAGCCUGAUCCAGCCAUGCCGCGUGGUGAAG
rnacentral:rRNA from 1 species